GGGGGGGGCAAGCGUUGUUCGGAAUUACUGGGCGUAAAGGGCUCGUAGGUGGCCAACUAAGUCAGACGUGAAAUCCCUCAGCUUAACUGGGGAACUGCGUCUGAUACUGGAUGGCUUGAGUUUGGGAGAGGGAUGCGGAAUUCCAGGUGUAGCGGUGAAAUGCGUAGAUAUCUGGAGGAACACCGGUGGCGAAGGCGGCAUCCUGGACCAACACUGACACUGAUGAGCGAAAGCCAGGGGAGCAAACGGGAUUAGAUACCCCGGUAGUCCUGGCCCUAAACGAUGAAUGCUUGGUGUGGCGGGUAUCGAUCCCUGCCGUGCCGAAGCUAACGCAUUAAGCAUUCCGCCUGGGGAGUAAGGUCGCAAGGCUG
rnacentral:rRNA from 1 species